rnacentral:lncRNA from 1 species
UGGCCAGCCAGGCAACCACCUUGCCCAGUGCGGCACCGGCUCGCCGCCACCACGAUCUGCCCCGGCGGCCUCACCGCCAUUCCUGCCGCUGGCGACGACCGCAGCAAGCAGUUUCUUCUCAACCAACCAACCCGCCCGGCACGCCCCCGCGCUUCGCCGUCGCAACGUAAGCUUCCCAGAUCCCUUUCGUUUCCGUCUGGACCGAGCUAGGCCACACUUCUACUCGUCCACAUUCUCUUCUCGGUUCCCACAUACUUUUCAAGUCAAACGAUUACAAAUCGGUUUAACCAACUCCGAUCAGCGAUCACAGCCGGAUUGUGCAAUCCCUGGAUGGCCGGAUCCACGAGCUUGCUAAAUAUGGGCACAUCCCCUCCUUUUCGCCCGCACGCGAGGCGUGGACCACCGGCGGAUCAAGCGUUCUUAAAACCCCGCAGUCCAGGAGCAACGCAACAAGCGGAAGAUGACAAGGGGAGUUGUUCGGCGGGAUGGGAGUUACUCGGCCGCGCGCCCGCCGCAUGUGCUGCUGCUGGUGGUUUUGUUCGGAGCGCGCUCUAGGUGUUCGAUGUAAUGGGUCGGAAGGUUAAUUAGCCGGCUGUUUGCGUCCUGAAGAUCCCGCGUCAGCGUCAGGAAUUCGAUGGAUAGUAAUCGACGCGGAAUCGUGGAAUUACGAAUCGGUGUGUGCGGUGUGGGUGUUGUUUAGCUCAUUAGGUGGGAUGUGGCUUUCAGAGAUUCCUGGUGUCGCCUUGGGGAAUAUUCAUGCUCCGUGGUGAUGGCUUAGUUCAGGUUUCGUGUAGUUGUUGUUCUCUUCAGGAGGGUUACCACCUGUUACACCAUCGAUCAAAAGUGUAAUUGAUUGUAGGUGCAUUGCAGUUCCACUAGACAGGUUAAUUUGCUUCAGAGUGCUCCUGAUGGAAAUAGUAUGGUCGGUGACUCGGUGAUCAAAAGUCUAGUUGUCUCAUGUUACAUUUGCAGUAAUUAGCUUUUUGACUGUUGUGUUUGGCGACAGGUUGUCGAAAAUGGGUAGAACAGUGGUUCCUGUGUGGUGGUCCUCUAGUGCAGUGCAGAUCAGCCAAUCCAAAGUUGCACUAGAUUAAGAAUCCACUUUUGUCCUAAAGGAUAAGGAGCCUUUCUGGAAGUGACAAGUGCUUAGAACUUUG